ensembl:ncRNA lncRNA:CR45283 long non-coding RNA:CR45283
AGCAUAAAUUGUGUUAUUGUAACUAAAAAGGAAAACCGAUGCAAACGGGAAAACUGGUCGAUCUUUGAUGUGAUUAGAGAUGGUUGGGCGGAAAUGGUUAGCUUUGACCAUGUUGGACUUGGCCACGAUUGGCAAUAAAUUCUUCAAUAUUUGAGUAAAUUGACAACGGGAAAUAUGUUCGUAUAAGAUAUCUUAUUAUGGCGAAAAGUAUCCCAUAUACAUACAUAUCCCCUGUCAAAUUAUACUUACAUUAAUCCAGUUUACAUUGCCGCGGUGCAACAUAUGAUCUUUAAAUCAAGUCAAAAAUUAUGAUAUGAUCCCCCUUGAGAUCAUUAUUUAAUCACAGUUUUAUGAACGGCUUUUCCAAAAAUAGCACGGAUCUCCCAUGAAUUCAACUCCCAACAGCAACUCCCCGGCACAUUUGCCAAAUCAAUAUGCAAUAUCCCACAAGUAAAGGAUUUCAAACUCUCACUCGAAUCUACACACACACACGCUCAGUGGGCAAUCAUAUCGAUGGGGGGAAAACUGAACCGCCUGUCAUAAAAGCCGCACACACAAAAAUACGAGUAGUUGGCUGCAUCAAGAGGGAACUGUGGCAUGAAAAGCACAAAAACUAGGUUACCAACAAACCCCCUAGAAAAAUAACAAUUGCACCCCGUAACCCCUGAUCUCUGGCACUGCCACUCGCCGUCCCAAAGCCAUCCGUUCAUGUCUCUGCCAAUGCAUUUCAAAACAGGAGCUGCAGGAGCAGCGAAUCGAGAAAGGCGUUCGGCCAUGCCCCUCCGCCGCCCCCACCAUAUCUGUCAAGUGAACUGGAAGUGAUAAGGAUAUAUAGGGGUCGGUAUGGUGGAGCUAGCUAUGGACGAAGGAAGAACGCUGAGCGUGUUCACGUGCAAAAUUGCAGCGAUUCCCCAGCGAGUUUCGAUUUCUCCUUCAAAAUCGAAUUCACUUUGCUGAGUACACUGAGAGGAAAUCAUGAACGAAACUGGAACAUUAUACCAUUCUAUAGGAGCUCUCCACUUUCUACUAUCUGUAUUUAGUUUUAGUAUUAAAUGUAUUAAGACAUUUCUUGAAAAGAACAUUUUUUGUGGAAUG